AUCAAUCCAAUCUCUUGUAGAACCACGAACAUGACACACACUUCUUCCAUGCCAUGACCGGCGAGGCAGACAACGUUUGCUCCACGCUCCGACUAGGAGCAGGACACGGCGGGGCCGCUCGGCGUCGGUUGGUCGUACGUGAAGCGGGUGCCAUGGACGCCAUGAUGCUCGUCGUGGGCCAUAGAUGCGAGCACGAGCACAAAGCGGCCGUACAUCUCCAGGAUCUCUAUCUGGUGGCACAACUAGUUCAAAAAGUUCUGCAUCCUGAGAGGCAUCGUCAUGGAGUUGCAGUUUAUGGUCAUGUAAGCUAGCUUCGCAUGCAUCUCUUUCCAAGAAUCCAUCCACGAGGCUCGCUGCUAACUAGCUUUCUGGAUAGUACUAAUCUAAUCUUGUUUUUUGUAUGUCUAAGUAUGAUGUAUCUAGCAAUCUAAUUAAUUCUUGAUUCUUCUCAUCCACCAAGAUUCUUCAAGACAUCGAACUAUAAUCAAAAAAUCUCUCUUGUGAAGUCCUGAAUUUUCUCUUGCAAUGCGUUUUGAUAAAAAGUUAUACAUAACUACUGUAAGAACUAAGUUCAAGUAGGAUAGUUGAGUAUGUAAUGUAAAAACAUAGAAAAUAGAAAUGAAAUUCAACAAAAAUCGAUUUUUUCCAUGGUAGAUUAUUUAGUGCGUGAGGUAUGUUCAAAAUUUCAGAUUAUUUGGAGAUUUCAGUCGCUAUCAGCAAAAAAUAAAAAAAUGGGUCAGAACAAUACUUGAACAAUAAACUUUUUUACACAUCCCAAAUUUUCCUUUUUUGCCGAGGGAUACUCAUAUAUACAAAUGAUUUGAAAUUUGGAGCGAAUCUCACGCACCAAAUUCUCUACCAUGCAAAAAAAAUUGGAUUUUUUGAAAUUUUCUAUUAUUUAUUUUGAUUUUUUUAUGAUCGAAGGUGCAUAUGAGACUGGGCACUAAAUAACUGCUAUGUGUAAGGAUUUUUUUUACCUUGUCACACUUUUAUCUUGGUAUUUCACGAUGAGAUGCAAUAAGAAAUCUGGGAAGGUUUGGGGUUCAUGUCAUCGAUGAACAAGAGAUCGAUGAAGCUUUACGAUGUAAUUAGAUGUGAUUGCUAGUUGUAUGUGUUGGCUGUCAUGUAAUGUGAGAUAGUACAUUUGUACUUUUAUAUGUUGUAUGAUAAAGAAAUCAUAUAGUGGAUUUUGCGUGUGCAUUUUUACAUUAUGUUUGAUUGUCGAAAGAUGAUCAUAAUAAAUUGAUUAUGUCUAACUAAUUUUAGGACUAAUUAACACAUCGUUAAGAGGACACAUUGCACACGGUUUUCUGGAUCCAAUUGUGUGAGAUGGCAUUUACCUCACACAUAAUUUUUUAUUUUUAAUCGUGUACAAUGAAUUGCACAUGAUAUAAAAUUUUCAUGAAAUAACAUUGUGCGAUGCUAAUCCAAAUUGCAAACAGUUUUUGUCUUGAAUUGUUUCGGAUGUAACCUCAAUCACAAAUUGUAUUGAUAGCUUGUGCGAUGGACCCCCCUAUCGCCCACACUUGCAAGGUGAUGGUUUGAAACUGUGUCACUGAAAGUUGUUAAAAACCGUUUGCUUAGGACCUUCCUGCACCGGUGCACAUAAAUACAAAUGAUUAGAACCACAGUGUUAAGUUAGACAAUUUUAUCAUACUUCUUAAUACUUCAGCAUUUUCAACCUCACUAAAUACAUGAGCGUGAACUAUGUACAUAGAAUAUGGGUGGAAUAGAUCAUGAUGGUAGAUAUCGAAAUGAGUAAAACUGGAAAAGAAAGUCUCGCAUCAACUAGGCGGACCAAUAGCUAUGGAGAUGCCCAUCAAUCUAUAUUAAUGCAAGGAGUAGGGGGUUACCAUGCAACACAUGCACUAGAGUUAUAAGUGUAUGAAAUCUCAAUAGAACCUAAGUGGGUGUGUAUCCAAGUUGCUUGAUCAUGAAGACCUCACGCAUUUGAGGAAGCCCGUCAUCAGAAUAUGCAAGCCAAGUUCUAUAAUGAAAAUUCCCACUAACAUAUGACAAUAACAACUCAUGAGACUCUCUAUAUGAAAACAUGGUGCUUUCUGUAAGUACAAUUUUGAAAAAAAGUGGUAGUAGCACUGUCCCUUCUCUCUUUUUUCUCAUUUUUUCAUUUUUUUUCUUUGUUCCCCCUUUUUUCUUUAUUUUUUUCAUCCGGAGUCUCAUCCCGACAUGUGAGAGAAUCAUAGUCUCCAUCAUCCUUUCCUCACUUAGACCAUGCUCUAAUAGUGAUGAACAUCACACUUCUAUCUACUUACAACUCGAUAUGAAAAACUACUAAAAACGAUGACUCUAUAUGAAU
rnacentral:lncRNA from 1 species